GGGGUUGUGGCUCAGUGGUAGAGUGCUUACCUAGCAUGUGUGAGACACUGGGUUCGAUCCUCAGCACCACA
rnacentral:tRNA from 1 species